AUCUUAGAUAUAUGCAUCGCCUUUGUAUUGACUUGGGCAAGAGUGACGUGUAUGGAUUCAUUGAUCCGUGUUUCAUUUAGAGUGAAUAUGAUUCUAUUGGGGCUCAAAAGUACAUACAAAAUAAGUUGCAACAGGAUCAAAAAGAGUGUUAUCUAUUACCUUAUCUCAACAAUUGUCAUUGGCAAUUGCUCGUUAUUUGUCCUAAGAAGAAUACUAUAGUCUUCCUAUGUUCGUUGGGAUGGAAACCAAAUAAAAAUGUCACGCACAUCGUCGAUUUAGCUUUGGGUGAAUAUAAUAAGUCGCGAAGAUUAAGAAAGAACAAGCCCACAUGGAGCAUUCCCAUUUGUCAAAGACAACCUAAAGGUUAUGAGUGUGGUUACUACAUUAUGAUACAUAUGUUGAACAUUGUAUCUAGUGGUCUUGUUGAUUCAUGGAUGCGGAUAUUUGGAGAAUCAAAACCAUUUGAAGAUGAAGAAAUGAUGAAUGUCCGAUAACGUUGUGCAAACUUGAUUCUUGAACUAAUAGAAAAUGUUUGAAGCAC